AUAGGUGUACCAGACGUAAAUACAUGCUAUUUGUUCUACAGAAGGUUGUUGUUUUCGUAUCUUAUCGCAGCCCUGAAAGACGGUCGAUAAUGGUCCAGUUGCGAUUAUCGUUACAAAAGAUUUAAUUAACUCUGGUGUUUUGCUUUCAUAGUAAUGCCAGAGCACUAGCGUGUUCAACUAUUUAGUUAAUCGAAACGUUUCGGAAAUACUUUCGCAAUAGCUAAACGGUGAAGAGUGUCAUAUAAUGGGUCUGCUAUUUCAGGUCUUCAUAGGCAUUGUCCUUCAUGAGCUUCAUAAGCUUUUCAUCUACGACGUCGGCUUUUUGUCGGCUGCUUGGUACUGCUAAGUUUCGGUAGUACAUAAUUCAGUAUUAAAACGUUUGGCCACACUUUGCUUUUCUUCUGAAGAUUGCAAGGUCGUAGGGUUAAAGACUGAAGUUAACUGAAAUUAAUGACAGCUUUUAUGAUGGGCUCAAAAAGAUCAAUAACGAACAUUUACAAAUAAAGUAUUUUAGAACUGUUUUAAAGAAGCAGGCGUAAUAGAUACCUAUUUGUACAGGCACCCUUCGUUAAAAUCGGAUAAAGAGUCCCGAUAUAACCUUGUAAUAUCAUAUCUGGCAUAAGAGUAUAUCAAUAAUAGUGUACGUUAGGCACAGUCUUUAAGUUUUCGAGCCGAAAUUAUACUCCAUUCUGGUUUGCGUAGGUCUCAUAAAAGCUCCACCUUAUCACUAUUAUGUUGGUUAAGAGGAAAUUCUAUUGCAGUGCGAACGUUAAGAGGAUCUAGUUUGUUAGCAUUUCUCUCCAACUGCUCUGUUAUUUAUAUUUUGCCUUUUCUUCCUUGAAAUAGAAAUUCCCUAUUCAUUUACUUUUUUUUUUUUGUUUUUUCCAAACUGAACUUUUGACAUCAGUAUUGCAGAUUCUACAAUUGUCUACAGUUAGCCGCAUUGAGUUUGCACAUUGAAGAUGCUCGCUGGUGUAUUUUUCAAUUUAUAACAAUGAAAGAAACUUAUUUUGUCUUACUGAGAAAUAAUGUUACUUUUUUUUGAUUCAAACGUCUGCGCACACGACGAGCUGCGAACGAGAUGAAUAUUAGGGAAUAUCCAAUGGAAUGGAUUUAUGCGAAAAGUGGAAACCUAUUUCUAACUUAGUAUUUUAUAACGAUACGCCAGGGUUUUUCUUUUACUAGUCAUUGAACCAACCAAGACCAAGGUAUGGAUGUUGUUGGAUACAGCAUUCCUUAAAUACAAGAUCUUUUUACAUAUCUAGCGUUUUCUAUCUUGUCACCUAUUUAGUAGAAUCCAUAAGUGCUUCACCAGCUUAUAAAAUUAAUAAUAACAGUGUUUAUCCGCCUUGUGUGAGUGACGCUGGAAAUUUGUGCUCAAACUAUUUCAAACAGCUUCAUUCGUUUUUUUUUUUUUAACUUCAUCUUUACAAUAGCAACGACGGUAAAAUAUAAAAUGGUACUACUUGCUAUUUAAUAUUCAGAUCUAGAGUUCGAACUAACGUUUACUCCUGGAGGGCCAUGCGACUAAUUUAUCUAGGUUCUCCGAAGGUAUUGGCUAUCUGAAUCAUUACAUUCUUAAUAGUACUGCAGGAUAUUGUUUUGUUGAGCUGCGCUAUUUAUAUUUGUAAGCGCCGAUACUCCAGCCUUAAUAGACUUUGCUUCCAUUUUUUUCAUUGAAGAAUUUCUUCAAUUUGAAACUGAAGUAGCUUUUUGGCCUGGAAAUGAUCUCGACUAACCAUUUUAAUUAAUACACUCGUGGGUUUUCUUCGUUCCAUUCUAGACCCUACAAAUCGUAUUAGAUUUUUGCAAAUUUAUUAAGCUCUCAGAUUGAAUAGUGUGCGUAUUUCCUUUGAGAAUCCUCAGAAAGAACUACGAUUUGCUCGUUGUUUAUACAGACACACCCCGUACCCCGAAUUUAGAAAAUAGCGACCUGCCUAAACUGAAACAGGCCAAACUAGACCUGAAUAGGAUUAAACCUUUCGUUUUCUGUUCCGCUAUAGAAGAGCUAUCAUGAGAUUGGUUUUAAUGAUGUCUGACGACCGACGGUUAGUUUAACUGCUCACCGCUCUAUCAUGAAAUACACAUAAAGGAUGGUUCUAAAUUUUCAUCACUUCGCGAAUGGGACCCUGGUAGCCAUCGAAAGGCAAGUUCCCCUUUUGCAUUUACUUGAUCCCUUCUUCAAGUUAUCCUCUGAAUUUGCCUUUUAUUUAAAUAAAUUAAUUAGAAAAGGUGAACAUGGGUUUAUUGUGUCAUAGCAACUUCCGGGUGUUUCCAUUCGAUUGGCUGAGGUGCAUGGUAAUCGUUUUUCUCAACUUCGCAUUGAGGUAGACCUCGUUACUAUGGGGUAUCUUUAAAUCGUUGUAACGACAUACUUUACAGAUAACACAGGAUGGAUACCAAUGAUGAAAAAUGACACGUUAAGAUAAUCAUAGCUUUUACGUGACAUGUAAUGAAUUAAACACUUAUUCUAGUUGCAAUGCUUCGGAAACGUAUGUCGGUGGAUUUUCAGCAACUUGCUAAUUCAACAGGAUUUCUGGUGCAAGGAACACAUUUGUUAAUUGUACGAUACUCUCCGUACUCAAGAAGUCUUUCUGUCGUGAGAUUUCUUUCUACAUCUACAAUGGAUUUCUAUCAUCCAAGGUUGCUGCGACGUCUUCGUUCGAGCUGCCUGUUUCAUUCAACCUGAUGGCCCUGAACGUCUGGGAGGCAGUUUACCUCAUCUUCAUCUCGCUUCUGGAGACCUACGCGGUCACCUACCUGGAACGAACGGCCAUUCCAGGUACCUCAAUAGAAGCUCUGCACCAGAAGCUUUCAAUGAUCAGUCUUCGGAACUAGCCAGAGGCGCCGGCGGUGAUGGUCCAACACGACCCUAAAUCUUCCGAAUUCGUCUUCUGGUAAAUGAAACUCACACUAUUCACCCGUGAGCGUGCAUCAAGAUAACUGCAAGAGCAGCAACUCAGUUCCCUGGAAGUUCACUGUACGGUGUUCCUUAUUGAAGCUCACCGACUUUAAUGAUUUCCUAGGGAUACCACGGAACUAGUCCCAUUUAUAUUUUGUUGAUCUACACAUGAGGUAGCUUAAAUGACCGAUCUUGUUAUAAUAAUAGAAGAUGAGUGUCGCGGAGCUAUAGUUUAGGUCAAUCUUAUUAAAUAAAGCACCACAGCGGAAUUCAACUUUAAUUGAGUCCCACUAUGGUAACUUAUAAGGAGUACAGAAAAUAUUCAUGAUUAUUGUAUCAUUAUGAUCAUAAUCGCGUGAUCAUAUCGCGAGAAUCAUCAUGAUCCUCCACUACUGAGCACAAUGUGUGUACCGAACAGCCAACUAAUAUUUAUGUAGACUGAUUUCUUUUUUGCGCGAUUUGUAAAGCAGUAAAGUAACUACUGGCCCUUGCAAUUGGACAAGCUCGAAUAAUGAUAAAGUUGAACGAAGUACAUUUUCCAGGCGAACGCUCGGGAGGAAGUGAGAAAUCGGCGAUACUGAAUGACUCAAAGCACAUUGUCCGUUCUAUCUUAUUCCACUCGCAAUUUUCAUUUGAAGGCGAGCUAAUGAUUAUUGUUGUCGUUUUUACAAAAGUAUCGAGGGAAGUUAAAGGGAAGCAAGCGAAUCAACUUUUCUUUGCUUAUUUUUAUCUAUUAGACAAUUUUUAAUAAAACAACUAGUUUCUCUCCAUUUAAUGCGAUGUCGUUGCUUGUUGUUCCGACACAAAUAAUCUAGAUCUUACAUAUAGGGUUAUUAACUUUGGACGCAGUUUGAACCUUAAACUUCAGGCACUUAGUUUUGAAUAUCUA